GACGAACGCUGGCGGCGUGCUUAACACAUGCAAGUCGAACGGAAAGGCCCCCUUGUGGGGUACUCGAGUGGCGAACGGGUGAGUAACACGUGAGUAACCUACCCUUGACUUUGGGAUAACUUCAGGAAACUGGGGCUAAUACCGGAUAGGAGCUCCUGCUGCAUGGUGGGGGUUGGAAAGUUUCGGCGGUUGGGGAUGGACUCGCGGCUUAUCAGCUUGUUGGUGGGGUAGUGGCUCACCAAGGCUUUGACGGGUAGCCGGCCUGAGAGGGUGACCGGCCACAUUGGGACUGAGAUACGGCCCAGAAUCCUACGGGAGGCAGCAGUGGGGAAUAUUGCACAAUGGGCGGAAGCCUGAUGCAGAAACGCCGCGUGCGGGAUGACGGCCUUCGGGUUGUAAACCGCUUUCGCCUGUGACGAAGCGUGAGUGACGGUAAUGGGUAAAGAAGCACCGGCUAACUACGUG
rnacentral:rRNA from 1 species